rnacentral:lncRNA from 1 species
CCCAGGACAAAAAUGUCAUUCAGUGCUCACAACAGAGAGGGCUCCGGUGUGGAGAGUCCCUUCCCCAGGCCAAGCUGGACCCUUGCUCUGCUUCCAAACUCUGAGGGCUCCCGAGACCUGGGAGAGAUGACCAGAGUGCUGGGCAGGAGAAGCUGAAGCCAAUCCGAAGGACAGCGAGGUGCCCACCAGACAGAGCCUGGAGGCGAAGGAACGGAGGUUAAGGCUGAAGUCUUACAGUCCAAAUCCAGCUCUCUCUGCUAGGGCACGAGACAAUCAGCAGCCACUGAGGACUCUGCCUUUGGGCUGGGCGUUUGCUGAGGCCAAGGAGGUUCACCUUUUGACACAGACCGCAUGGGCCUCCUCAGGAAAUUGCAGGAGAGAUAAGAAGGGUGGAAAGAAGGAGGCCUCUGUUCUGGGAGAGCUCAUGGACAGAGACGGGUGCUGAUGAGGAAGCUGGGCUCAGCCACCUUCCAGCUCUGCCAUCCCGGGCUUUCCCAGAAGGCGGGAGGACCCGGAGAGUCGAGGCAAACCGCGAGCUUUGGUGCACGCCUGUGAAGAGCCUUCCGCGACUGGCCUCUAAUGCCCCAGCAGCCUCUCGGAGCGCUCCUUCCUUUAUCUCUGCCCCCACCAGCCCCGUAGGGGCCCUCCGAGCUAGGUGGGGACUUGGAGGGCUCGUGCCAGCCCUCAGGGAGCGCC